ACGGCCACACACGUUGAAACACCGGGUCCCGUACGAUCACCGAAGUUAAGCAACGUUGAACUUGGUCAGUGCCUAUAUUCGUGACUGCUUUGGAAUACCAGGUGCUGUAA